AGGCACGUAGCUCAGGGGUGGAGCGCUACCUUGACGCGGUAGAGGUCGGCGGUUCGAAGCCGCCCGUGCCUACCA
rnacentral:tRNA from 2 species